AUGCAGUCGAGCGGAACGAUCCUAGCUUGCUAGGAGGCGUCGAGCGGCGGACGGGUGAGUAACGCAUAGGAAUCUGCCCGGUAGUGGGGGAUAACCUGGGGAAACCCAGGCUAAUACCGCAUACGUCCUACGGGAGAAAGCAGGGGCUCUUCGGACCUUGCGCUAUCGGAUGAGCCUAUGUCGGAUUAGCUGGUUGGUGAGGUAAUGGCUCACCAAGGCGACGAUCCGUAGCUGGUCUGAGAGGAUGAUCAGCCACAUCGGGACUGAGACACGGCCCGAACUCCUACGGGAGGCAGCAGUGGGGAAUAUUGGACAAUGGGCGCAAGCCUGAUCCAGCCAUGCCGCGUGUGUGAAGAAGGCCCUCGGGUUGUAAAGCACUUUCAGUGGGGAAGAAAUCCUAGGGGCUAAUACCCUCGAGGGAGGACAUCACCCACAGAAGAAGCACCGGCUAACUCCGUGCCAGCAGCCGCGGUAAUACGGAGGGUGCGAGCGUUAAUCGGAAUUACUGGGCGUAAAGCGCGCGUAGGCGGCCUGAUAAGCCGGUUGUGAAAGCCCCGGGCUCAACCUGGGAACGGCAUCCGGAACUGUCAGGCUAGAGUGCAGGAGAGGAAGGUAGAAUUCCCGGUGUAGCGGUGAAAUGCGUAGAGAUCGGGAGGAAUACCAGUGGCGAAGGCGGCCUUCUGGACUGACACUGACGCUGAGGUGCGAAAGCGUGGGUAGCAAACAGGAUUAGAUACCCUGGUAGUCCACGCCGUAAACGAUGUCGACUAGCCGUUGGGG
rnacentral:rRNA from 1 species